GCCUGUGAUGUCAGAAUCCUAUUCCAUUACUGAACCCAACGUGUGGAACAACCCUAACUGAGGAU